GUUGUGCAAUCCUAAACCCACUGAUCCAAUCUGUCCAGCAGCCCUUUCCACCCCUUCUCCCUCUGCCCUGCUGCCACCUGUGUCUUUGUUGGAGUCACCAAGGCUUCAUUUUGGGCAGUUGCUCUUUCAGGGCACGUUCAGAGUUGGGUAGACAAUGUGCAGGGUGAAGUUCAUGAGGAGCCACCCAGGCACUGCCACCCCCAGCCUGGCUCCAGCUGGAUGGACCUGCCUGAAAAUAACUGCAGGCUUGCCCAGGAGGGUUUUGUUGCUAUCCAGUGCUGCUGAUCAGGGCUGCCUGCUCUUUCACUUGGAUGCUCCUGAAUCCCAAUGAAGCCUUGCCAUCCAUCGCCUCUGCCUUGGUCCCUCUUACCUGGUCUCCUCCACCCUUGACCACCUCUCCCUCUCCCUCUCCAUGCCCAGCUCCUACCACAGAGCAAGAGCUUCCCCUCCUUCCACUCCUCAGAGUUACUGUGGGAAGCAUCAGUGGUGCAAGAAGCCAAAGCAAGGCCAAAGGACAGCUCAGGAGUCAGGAAAGGAGUUUUUCCUGCCCACCACAACCCAUGGAACCACAACUGCCCUCUUAGCACGUUGUCAGGGCAGAGAAGUGACCAUGUCUGAACUCUGGAUGGAAAUAUAAGCAGAAGAAAGGAUGCUGCUCCACUGGAAGGAGAGCUCUCAUCUUGAAAACCAGAAUAAUUAUGGAGUGAUAUGGAGGAAGAAUGUGGAACACGGAGCAAUGAUCAGUAAAACUUAAAAGCUUUGGAGGUGGAGUUCCCAGUGAGUUUCCUGAAGUUUGGAUACAUACCCAAACUUCCUUGAACCUUUUGGGGCCUAAUUAAAUUCAAGGGGGCUUAUAAAAAAAACAUGCAUGGAAGAGAAAACUUUUUUCUGUGAAAAAAAAACCUGCUUAAUAAAACAGAUUGUGUGCAAAAUAGAAAUCUGGGCCUUGUGAAGGAAGAGUAAAACGACACUAAUGAGCAGAGUCUGAGUGUUAAUGAAUGGGAUUAGCAUUCCAUUCCCUGCAACUCUUAUAAAUAGACCCACCAAUUUUAGGUUCCCUGUUCUUCAAAGAACCUGAUGUGAUUUCUGGGGGUGUUUUCAUGUAGUUAAUUCCAUUUUGUACAAGGAGAAACUGAGGCAGAAGACAAUCACUUGACCCACCCCUCAGGCCUGUGGCUGGGUUGGAGAUGAGAACAUUGAGGUUUUACUUUUAAAGGGUUUGAUUUGACUUUGGGCAGUCAGAACCCAGCAGGCACCAUCCUGAGCUCUGUGUGUGGAGCAGCUCCUCCUUCCUCCUGGAGACAGCGGUGAGCAGCUGGCAGCUCCUGCAGGUUCUUCCCUGCUGGAUCCUGAGUGUUUUAUUUUUCUCUCUGGACCUUGUGUGAGCUUUGGCACUUGGAAAAUACCCCAGGAUGGGGAUGGUCCUCAUUCCCAGCUGGGUUUUGUCCACAUGCAGUCCCUUCUGUGCAGCUGUUGGAUGUGACAGCAAAUGUUCCCACCAGCCUUGGCUGGGAACCAGAGCUCUGUUUCCCAAUCUCUGUUUCAAAGGGCAGUGAACCAUCUCCUCUUCCAUCCCCACAUGAUCCUCAGCCUGUCCACUGAAAGCCAGGAGUGGUUUCAUUCUUGUUUCCUUGCCCUUUUGAGCUCUUCUGGUGUCGCCCUGUUCUUCUAAAGUUCUUCUACGCCUUCUGAUGUUUACAUUUUUGUAAUGGAGUUUCUUCAUGCACUUCUCAUGUAAAUAAUCAUUGUUUUGCAUUCCUUUCUGGAGGAGGAGAGAAUUGAUGGACUGUUGGUUUGACCAGUGUGGUUGGAGAGGUGGCAACUUCAUCCUCCAAUCCACGGUCACUUUUGGAAUUCUAUAAAUAUCGAGGAACAGAAAUAAACCUGCCUUUUUUGCCUUGGA